CCCGUGAUGAGAUGGUUCUGGCCCUUGUUCC
rnacentral:piRNA from 1 species